rnacentral:snRNA from 1 species
ACACUAUUUCAGCAGCAUGUGUAGUCAGAUUGGAACAAAAAGGGGACGUUAGCAUGACACCUGUGCAAAGAUGGCAUGCAAAUUCUUGUAUGCUUCUCAUUUUAU